rnacentral:rRNA from 1 species
UACGAAGGGGGCUAGCGUUGCUCGGAAUCACUGGGCGUAAAGGGUGCGUAGGCGGGUUUUAAGUCAGAGGUGAAAUCCUGGAGCUCAACUCCAGAACUGCCUUUGAUACUGGGAAUCUUGAGUAUGGAAGAGGUGAGUGGAACUCCGAGUGUAGAGGUGAAAUUCGUAGAUAUUCGGAAGAACACCAGUGGCGAAGGCGGCUCACUGGUCCGGUACUGACGCUGAGGUGCGAAAGCGUGGGGAGCAAACAGG